GUUCAGACCUGAAGCUUUUCCAUCUUGUCAUUGCUGAACGGGUCUCUGCAUCACUAGUGAGUUUCAUCUCUCGCAGGAGACUUGGAGGAAUUCGAAAAAGAUCCUCUGCGCUUUACAGUGCCAAAGUACGCGCGACGCAAGAGAACAACCGCGCCCUCUGCUGAUAUGGGUGUCAAAAUGCUCCAGUGCUUUCCCUUCUACAGACGCUGCAAGGAGAGGUGCAAAAGACAGUGCCCUCCUGAGACUGCUGUAGUGAGUGAAGAGCUGAAGCCCCGUCUGUGCUCCACCACGUCCUGGGGCAGUGAAGGGGACAGCAGCAGCGGCAUCAGCUGCCCACAGGCCUACUUCUCCCACAAAGCCCGGCUCUCACUGCGGCAUCAGAUGGACAGCAACAUCAAUGCAGUGGACGCCACUUACUAACUUCACCCUGCAAGCGGUUUCUGGAGAAUCCUUAAAAAUAGACUCCGACGUACAGCCGCCAUCCAGCUUCAAUCCCUUUCUGGAGAGCAUUUGAGGGGUAACUGGAGGAUCAUGAGCCAAGCACAAUGGAAGCGUGUCUCUCCUUGCAUGGACACUCAUGAGGGUCAGCUGUACGCGCUGUCACAAUGAGUGUUUGAAUUUCUCUAACACAAUGGUACAGCUGAGUGCUAUUUGGUGGAAGAGGAAUUUGCUAAACACUGUUGAUGUUGAGAGAAUUGAGAGAUGUUUACAUGAUCACCAUCAAGUGCUUUUUUUUUUUCUAGCCUGCAGCAUCUGUUCUACUCAGUCUUUGCUAUAUGAGCAUCUACAGUAUGUGAUGAGGACGCUUCUGGUUGCUUUUCUGAAUACACACUGACAAUUAAGCCAGAUUUGAGCCACAUAUGCAUUUGUUCAGUGGUUUACCCAUUAUUUCACUUGUGAAAAUCAACGCUGAUAAGUUUAUGAUUUGAUAUAUUUCAGUCACAGAAAGGAGGUUUACUAUAGCCUUUUGUUCGCUUUUUAAGUGAGUGCCAUUUUCUUGACCCAACAAAUUAUAGAGACCCAUUAACAGUGUGGACAGCUUAGAUUAUAGAAUCUCAAAUAAAAAAAAUGUUCAUAAAUUAUUAAUUGAAUGCAUUAAUUCAAAAUGUUUUCAGAAUAUACACACUUUAAACCCAAAAGUCAACUUCAUCAAAUGAAAUGAGUGUAGUUAACUCAAAAUUGACUGAAAGCUAAUUCUACUCAUUUUAAAAGUCUUGAACUCAGUGUUGAAGGUAAUGAGUUAAUUAAAUACCUCGUUUCUUCAAUUUAAAUGGAGUAAGUUCAAAGUACUCCUAUAGAUUAGUUUAACUCAAACAGUUUGAGUUGCCUUAACUUCUAUAGCUUCUUUUACUCAAAUGGAUUAAGUUCAUAGUACUCAUUAGGAUUAGUUUUUGGACUGAAAUGGUUUGUUGCAAUUGGUUUCCUCAAACAGUUUGAGUUAACUUUUUGGGGUUUACAGUGCAUUACCGGUCAAUAGUUUAAGGUCAGAUUAUUUUUUCAGGUAUUUGUUUUAAGAAAAUUAUUCUGUUCAUUAAGGCAGCAUUUAUUAAAUGUAAAAAAAUUGUUAAAUAUUUAUAUAAAUGACUGUUUUUUUAUUGUAUGUAGUUUCAAAUGAAAUUUUUACUCCAGGCAUUAUUGCUUUUAUUACUAUUACCAUUAAUAAAAACAAUAAUAUUAAUAAUAAUUAAUAUUAGUGAUUUCUGAAGGAUCAUGACUCCUUUAAAAAAAAGCUUUAUAAUCAGUGGAAUAAAUGAUUAAAUGAAAUGAUAAACUACUUUUGAACAGUUAUUUUAAUAGUGUUAUAACAUUUAACAUUUUUUACUCUAUUUUUGAUUAAAUAAAUGCAGCCUUGGUAAGCAGGAGAAGCUUAUUUUAAAACACAAAAAAUUGUACUGAACCCAAACUUUUCACCGGUACUGUUUAUGUUUUUAAUAUAUAUGUUUUUGGACUUAAAUCUCACACAUAAAUACACUGAUCUGAAGAUAAUUUAAAUCUUUCUUUGUCUACUUCCUAUUGCAUGUAUAAAGUGAGUCACAUAAAUGAAGAUGUUUCUCAUGAUUCACUCAUUGCUUCUGUUGUACAUGCUAAUGUCAUGGAUCUGACUGUCUUUAUUUUUGUACAUGUAUUAAAGUGUUUGUUUAGAUUUUAAACCUAGUCCUAUAAAAAGAACUUACACUGUUACACCUUAAGUCAUAAUUACUAUGAAAGAGAAGAUAUUUUUUGUAUGUUUUGUAAAAAAGGUGGAAUUUUCUAAAAAAAACAAACAAAAAACUUGUAAUAAUAUAAAAUGACAGUGAACUAAAUACAUAGAAUAAAAUUGCAGAUGUACUUUUGCUUUCACUGAAUAUCAUACAACAAUAAAUCUGAAACUGUGUUUUCAUA